rnacentral:rRNA from 1 species
UACGAAGGGGGCUAGCGUUGCUCGGAAUCACUGGGCGUAAAGGGUGCGUAGGCGGAUUUGUAAGUCAGGGGUGAAAUCCCGGGGCUCAACCCCGGAACUGCCUUUGAUACUGCGAAUCUCGAGUCCGGAAGAGGUGAGUGGAAUUCCUAGUGUAGAGGUGGAAUUCGUAGAUAUUAGGAAGAACACCAGUGGCGAAGGCGGCUCACUGGUCCGGUACUGACGCUGAGGUGCGAAAGCGUGGGGAGCAAACAGG